ensembl:miRNA
CUGUGGUGCAUUGUAGUUGCAUUGCAUGUUCUGGCAGUACCCGUGCAAUGUUUCCACAGUGCAUCACAG